rnacentral:rRNA from 1 species
GACGAACGCUGGCGGCGUGCUUAACACAUGCAAGUCGAACGGAAAGGCCCUGCUUUUGUGGGGUGCUCGAGUGGCGAACGGGUGAGUAACACGUGAGUAACCUGCCCUUGACUUUGGGAUAACUUCAGGAAACUGGGGCUAAUACCGGAUAGGAGCUCCUGCUGCAUGGUGGGGGUUGGAAAGUUUCGGCGGCUGGGGAUGGACUCGCGGCUUAUCAGCUUGUUGGUGGGGUAGUGGCUUACCAAGGCUUUGACGGGUAGCCGGCCUGAGAGGGUGACCGGCCACAUUGGGACUGAGAUACGGCCCAGACUCCUACGGGAGGCAGCAGUGGGGAAUAUUGCACAAUGGGCGGAAGCCUGAUGCAGCAACGCCGCGUGCGGGAUGACGGCCUUCGGGUUGUAAACCGCUUUCGCCUGUGACGAAGCGUGAGUGACGGUAAUGGGUAAAGAAGCACCGGCUAACUACGUGC